rnacentral:rRNA from 1 species
UACGUAGGGUGCAAGCGUUUAAUCGGAAUUACUGGGCGUAAAGCGUGCGCAGGCGGUCCGUUAAGACAGAUGUGAAAUCCCCGGGCUUAACCUGGGAACUGCAUUUGUGACUGGCGGACUCGAGUAUGGCAGAGGGGGGUAGAAUUCCACGUGUAGCAGUGAAAUGCGUAGAGAUGUGGAGGAAUACCGAUGGCGAAGGCAGCCCCCUGGGCCAAUACUGACGCUCAUGCACGAAGGCCAGGGGAGCAAACGGG